rnacentral:rRNA from 1 species
UACGUAGGGGGCAAGCGUUGUCCGGAUUUAUUGGGCGUAAAGAGCGUGUAGGCGGCUAGGUAGGUCCGUUGUGAAAACUCGAGGCUCAACCUCGAGACGCCGAUGGAAACCAUCUAGCUAGAGUCCGGAAGAGGAGAGUGGAAUUCCUGGUGUAGCGGUGAAAUGCGCAGAUAUCGGGAGGAACACCAAUGGCGAAGGCAGCUCGCUGGGACGGUACUGACGCUGAGACGCGAAAGCGUGGGGAGCAAACAGG